UAUUUUUUGAAUCUAGAGAAUGGAGUUUCUGAAACGCAGUCUAGUUUUCGUUGUGGCUUUGGCGAUGGCAACUUUGACUAUCAUCCAUGCUAUGCCAGACCCUGAUCCACAGCCCAGGUAUUCGUUUGCCGAUGGAAGAUAAAUUCUGGUAUAUCUUAGGAUUUAGGAAAGUUUGAGAGAAGACAUCUGAAUAUGCCUCUUUCGAUUCAAUGAAACUUCUUAACAGAGAUAAAGGAAAAGUGUUAAAAUCUGUGGCAAUUAUUAUUCAGCAUAAUGUUAACCAAAAUUUUAAAAUGUGUUUUCUCUUUCACAAAUGUUUCGAAAAUGUACAUCAAUAAAAUACUCUUCAAUGUUGGCAUAAAAUGUAUCAUUUAAUAUUAUUAGUAAACGCAUGUUCAAUAUAAAAUGGAUGCUUAUGCAACGACUAGUUUCUCUCAUGUAAGUUUCGUGUAUUUUAGCCACGAUUGCAUUCAACAUAAAUGACAAUACUUGUUCAA